rnacentral:tRNA from 1 species
GCUCCCGUAGCCCAACCGGCAGAGGCAGGCGGCUUAAACCCGCCGCAGUAUGGGUUCGAAUCCCAUCGGGGGCACCC